rnacentral:sRNA from 1 species
GCCAGGUGUGGUGGCUCACGCCUGUAAUCCCAGUACUUUGGGAGGCUGAGGCAGGUGGAUCAUUUGAGGUCAGGAGUUUGAGACCAGCCUGACCAACAUAAUGAAACCCUAUCUCUACUGAAAAUACAAGGAUUAGCCAGACGUGGUGGUGGGCGUCUGUAGUCCAGCUACUUGAGAGGCUGAGGCAGGAGAAUCACUUGAACCACCACGCCCAUCCUAAUAUUUUUUGUUGUUGUUGUUAGUAGAGACAGGGUUUCUCCAUGUUGGCCAGGCUGAUCUUGAACUCCUGACCUCAAGUGAUCCCCCCGCCUCA